ensembl:lncRNA
GCCUGCAUUCCGUCCAGCGCCCCACACGGGGGAGGCCACACGGGCAGGGGCCAGGCCUGCAGCGCUGAGGGCGGGCCUGCGGGACCGACCACACCUCCGUCCGGCUGGUGGAGUCUUUAUCACUUGAGCCACCAGAGAAGCCCGAGAGGAAUGCUUAUUCAUCUUAUUCAGCUCAGGUGGCCCCUUGCCUGUACGGCUUUCCCCGCCCUCUCCAGGAGGGAGGCAGCUUCACCCUCACAUCACUGCUCUGCGCUAUGCACCGUGCCAGGGGCCCCAAGUACCUCAACAGCCCCGUGGUUGAGGAAUGCUGCUGCUGCUGCUGAGUCGCGUCAGUCGUGUCCGACUCCGUGUGAUCCCACAGACGGCAGCCACCAGGCUCCCCCGUCCCUGCUGCUCAGUCGCGUCAGUCGUGUCCAACUCUGUGUGAUCCCACAGACGGCAGCCACCAGGCUCCCCCGUCCCUGGGACUCUCCAGAGCCCGUGUGCCACAACUAGAGACUCCAUGCCACAACCAGAGAUUCUGCAUGAUGCAACAA